UUGUAUGUAGCUCAGUGGUAGAGCAUUUGCCUAACAUGCUCAGGGCCCUGGGUUUGAUCCCCAGCACUGCAAA
rnacentral:tRNA from 1 species